CUACUGACCUGGCAUGGGAGAUACCAUGAUCAUGAAGGUGGUUUUCCCAGGGCGAGGCUUAUCCAUUGCACUCCGGAUGUGCUGACCCCUGCGAUUUCCCCAAAUGUGGGGGGGGAAAUAAAUAAAAUAAAAAUUGUAAAUUUUUUCAAAUUUUAAUCU